rnacentral:rRNA from 1 species
AACGUACGCUGGCGGCACGCCUAACACAUGCAAGUCGAACGAAGUAGCAAUACUUAGUGGCAGACGGGUGAGUAACAUGUAGGUAUCUGCCCUUUGGCCUGGAAUAACACGAGGAAACUUGUGCUAAUACCGGAUAAGUCUUUACGGAGAAAGCUUUAUGCACCAUUGGAUGAGCCUGCACUUGAUUAGUUUGUUGGUGGGGUAAUGGCCUACCAAGACUGUGAUCAAUAGCUGAUUUGAGAGGAUGAUCAGCCACAUUGGGACUGAGACACGGCCCAAACUCCUACGGGAGGCAGCAGUGGGGAAUCUUGCACAAUGGAGGAAACUCUGAUGCAGCGAUGCCGCGUGAGUGAAGAAGGCCCUUGGGUUGUAAAGCUCUUUCGUCGGGGAAGAAAAUGACUGUACCCGAAUAAGAAGGUCCGGCUAACUUCGUGCCAGCAGCCGCGGUAAUACGAAGGGACCUAGCGUAGUUCGGAAUUACUGGGCUUAAAGAGUUCGUAGGUGGUUGAAAAAGUUAGUGGUGAAAUCCCAGAGCUUAACUCUGGAACUGCCAUUAAAACUUUUCAGCUAGAGUAUGAUAGAGGAAAGCAGAAUUUCUAGUGUAGAGGUGAAAUUCGUAGAUAUUAGAAAGAAUACCAAUUGCGAAGGCAGCUUUCUGGAUCAUUACUGACACUGAGGAACGAAAGCAUGGGUAGCGAAGAGGAUUAGAUACCCUCGUAGUCCAUGCCGUAAACGAUGUGUGUUAGACGUUGGAAAUUUAUUUUCAGUGUCGCAGGGAAACCGAUAAACACACCGCCUGGGGAGUACGACCGCAAGGUUAAAACUCAAAUGAAUUGACGGGGACCCGCACAAGUAGUGGAGCAUGUGGUUUAAUUCGAAGAUACGCGCAGAACCUUACCAACACUUGACAUGUUCGUCGCGACUCUAAGAGAUUAGAGUUUUCGGUUCGGCCGGACGAAACACAGGUGCUGCAUGGCUGUCGUCAGUUCGUGUCGUGAGAUGUUGGGUUAAGUCCCGCAACGAGCGCAACCCUCACUUUUAGUUGCCAUCAUUAAGUUGGGCACUCUGAAAGAACUGCCAGUGAUAAGCUGGAGGAAGGUGGGGAUGACGUCAAGUCCUCAUGGCCCUUACGUGUUGGGCUACACACGUGCUACAAUGGUAUCUACAACAGGAAGCAAGACUGCGAAGUUAAGCAAAUCCCUAAAAGAUUCCUCAGUUCGGAUUGCACUCUGCAACUCGAGUGCAUGAAGCUGGAAUUACUAGUAAUCGUGGAUCAGCGUGCCACGGUGAAUGCGUUCCCGGGUCU